rnacentral:rRNA from 1 species
ACGUAGGGGGCCAGCGUUGCUCGGAAUUACUGGGCGUAAAGGGUCCGUAGGCGGUGCGGUAAGUCGGGAGUGAAAUCUCUGGGCUUAACUCAGAGGCUGCUUCCGAAACUACCGUGCUAGAGUGCGAGAGAGGCAAGUGGAAUUGCGGGUGUAGCGGUGAAAUGCGUAGAUAUCCGCAGGAACAUCCGAGGCGAAAGCGGCUUGCUGGAUCGCAACUGACGCUGAGGGACGAAAGCUAGGGGAGCAAACAGGA